rnacentral:lncRNA from 1 species
ACAUUUUCCUGCUAAAUUUCAGCAGAAUAGCUCUGCAGACUUUCCAGAUGAGCACUGAGUUUAUCGGAUUACUUAUCUGUAAAUGUAUGAAAUCGAUUGUCUUUUUUAAAAAAAUUAUAUUUUCUUACAGAUUAGGAAACAGAGUGCAGUGAGCUCUACAAGCAACCAGGAGAACUAAAGAACUCAUCCUUAAGAUUCCCUGUUCUGGGUCCCAAUUUUACAAGAUAGGAAGCAUGCCCAGAGAGAGGAAGAGACUUGCCCAAACUCACAUAGAAGCUAACUCAUUGACAAAAUCUAUCACCUGUCCUUAGGCACUAUCCUCCAUCCAUAACAUUGCUCACCGCUAAGCUGCCCUGAGCUGGCAGCUGCUUCCUUCCGCUUAAUCUCUCACUUCCCACUUCCCUUCACUGAAAUAUGCAAGAAAACAAAACAAAUAGAAACCAUUUCUCUGCGGACUCUGGUGGGCCCAGAGAUAUGGACAUUCAUCAGAAUGCUGCUUUUGCCAAAUGAAUGUUUCUAGAACGGGGACGCAGUAAGCACAGGACUGUCUUCAGACUACAGUCGUCAAUGGUGGUGAAUCUGGUGGUGUGUAACACCCCCCACCCUGUGUGUUUGAUGGUUUUAAUGUUGCUUUCUUCUUAUGAGCUCUGCCUACCAGCUGUUCUUGUCCUGUCCACUAUGAUGGAAAAUUAGCCAAUUAGUGAGUGUCUUUGUAUCUCUUGGAGGAAGUAUGGCACACAGGCUGGUCAGGAUGAGCCAAGCUGUCGAUCUUUGCCACCCUCUAAGCAGGAGCUACAAGGCUGUUAAGGAUAGACAGCAUGCUGCAUUUAUUCCCUUCUUCUGAGAGUCUUUUGCUGCUGAGCCUCAUGCCAUGCCUGCUUUCUGUGUACCCCCCCCAUCCUGCCCACUCACACAAUGCAAUGGGAAAGUCAUAGCAAUAGAUGUAGGUCAAGGCCAUAAUCCUAGGGUUCAAGCUGUGGGAGUCACAGGAAGGGCUGGGUAAAUUUACCUGGGCCUACCACUGGAAGUCACCAUCCCAGAAGAAAAGGGAGUCCAUGUCCCACUGGCCUUUACCUGCUGACUGCCUAGCCACUGAGCUGUAUUGCUUUGCUGAAGCUGGGAGGGCCAAAGCACAAACUAACAAACAAUCAAAGAGAAAGAUGGUUAAAGACCCAGAAAACACUUUCAGAUGAACUACUUCAGGACGAUCUAGCAUUCAUGUUCUGUGGGUUGCAUGGCUUUCUCACUGCUGCACACACUAGUCAUGUGGUUAGAUUUGGACAUGCUGUGCUUCGUGGGACAUGGAACUUCCAAGGGGUAUUUCUUCAGUGCCAUCUUUCUGUGUGGUCUAUGAGGAACUAGUGUGUGUUCUUGUUAGUGUGUGUCUUGCAACCUUCAGCUGCACAUCUCUGAUUCAGACCCACCUCUUUGAGCUUCUGGUUGUGUGUCGGAGGGGGUUUAAAGUAGCCAUUCGUGGGUUUGACAUCAGUGAAUAUUUAGCCAGCUGGAUAAGACAGGAAAAGAAAAAGGUAUUUCUUUCCCUAUGUAAUAAUGAAAAGCAAUAAUUACAAGUAUGUAACAAUACACAAAGGCCAUAAUUAGUCUCUUCCAGUGUUCAGGAUGUGCUAGAGAAUUCUGUAGUCAUUUGGAGUAUGUUGGACCCAUUAGUAUGUCCUAUAGCACCCUUCAGUAAGCAAAUACCUGAGUUGCUCCUAUUUUACAAGUUUAUGAGCCCAUACUACUGCAUUUCAGGAGUGACAGAUAUGUCUGGAAAUGGGGAGGGUUCUUGCAAAGCACUGUACCAGAGACCAUGUUGUACAUUUGUCUGUUAUAAACAGGCUGGUUUGUAAAAGAUGUAUGUUUUUGGUGUUUAAAAUGUUUAUAAAGUUGUAUAUAGUUGGUUUCAAUUUUCCAGGCGUUUGUAGAUACAGUAUCUGAUGCCUAUCCGGAUGCUUUAAUUUGGAGGGUCGAAUAGAAUUCUUAGUCAUCCACAUUGUUGCUCUACAAACUUUUGGGAUACACCCACAACAAAGAGGACUUUAGAUUUGAAAACGAUGGGUUUUAUUCAUUUUGAAAUGUAUUGUGUCUUUCCUUUGCUUCCACAGUUUUCAUUUAACUCUUUUCAAAAGAAGAAAAGUGUUUCUAUCGACUUCUUUUUAAGAUGAAUGAGUUUUGCCCAGUUUUUAAGCACUCCGCCUUCAUGCCAUUUCCUAGUCAGAAGGAGUUGUCAUUUCUUUACACACAUGCACACUCACCUUGCCUCACACACACAUCACAAGCAAACUUAUGCAAAGGGGAAAGUGAAUAACUUAUCAUUGAAUCUGCCCCUUAUAUAAAUGCAUUAUUUCUACAGAUAUUGCUGUUGGCACUAUUCAGUCUUGUGUUCUUUUCUUAAAAAAAAG